ACUUUCAACAACGGAUCUCUUGGUUCCGGCAUCGAUGAAGAACGCAGCGAAAUGCGAUAACUAAUGUGAAUUGCAGAAUUCAGUGAAUCAUCGAGUCUUUGAACGCACAUUGCGCCCUCUGGUAUUCCGGAGGGCAUGCCUGUCCGAGCGUCAUUGC
rnacentral:rRNA from 2 species